rnacentral:rRNA from 1 species
GAAUCUUGCGCAAUGAGCGAAAGCUUGACGCAGCGACGCCGCGUGCGGGAUGAAGGCCCUCGGGUCGUAAACCGCUUUCAGCAGGGACGAAAUUGACGGUACCUGCAGAAGAAGGCCCGGCCAACUACGUGCCAGCAGCCGCGGUAAUACGUAGGGGCCAAGCGUUGUCCGGAUUUAUUGGGCGUAAAGAGCUCGUAGGCGGUGCGAUAAGUCGACGGUGAAAUCUCCACGCUCAACGUGGAGGGGUCCGUCGGUACUGUCGUGACUCGAGUCCGGUAGGGGAGAAUGGAAUUCCCGGUGUAGCGGUGAAAUGCGCAGAGAUCGGGAGGAACACCCGUAGCGAAGGCGGUUCUCUGGGCCGGUACUGACGCUGAGGAGCGAAAGCGUGGGGAGCAAACAGG